UACGUAGGGUCCGAGCGUUGUCCGGAAUUACUGGGCGUAAAGAGCUCGUAGGUGGUUUGUCGCGUUGUUCGUGAAAACUCACAGCUCAACUGUGGGCGUGCGGGCGAUACGGGCAGACUAGAGUACUGCAGGGGAGACUGGAAUUCCUGGUGUAGCGGUGGAAUGCGCAGAUAUCAGGAGGAACACCGGUGGCGAAGGCGGGGUCUCUGGGCAGUAACUGACGCUGGAGGAAGCGAAAGCCGUGGGGAGCGAACAGGA
rnacentral:rRNA from 1 species